rnacentral:rRNA from 1 species
AUACGGAGGGUGCGAGCGUUAUCCGGAAUUACUGGGUUUAAAGGGUGCGUAGGCGGCCUGGUAAGUCAGGGGUGAAAGUCCAGGGCUUAACCGUGGGAUUGCCUUUGAUACUGCUGGGCUUGAAUGAGGUUGAGGUGGGCGGAAUGUGGCAUGUAACGGUGAAAUGUGUAGAUAUGACAUCGAACACCGAUUGCGAAGGCAGCUGACUGGACCUUUAUUGACGCUGAGGCACGAAAGCGUGGGGAGCGAACAGGAUUAGAAACCCUAGUAGUCC